rnacentral:tRNA from 1 species
ACUUGAAUAGCUUAUAUAGAGCAUAAUUUUGAAGAAAUUAGGGAAGUUUAAACUUUUAAGUA